UGGUGCGGACGUGUGGACGCCAUUUUGGUUUGUCCAACAACUACAGUAGAGAUUGAACUACAGACCACGGAACCAUGAUAAAGAAAAGAGGUAUGUCAGCAACUUUUGUGAUACGCAUAUCCGCCAUAUUGCUUUUCUCCACAAUGUUUAUAACAUAGACACUGAUGAUAAAAUUGACGGAGAAAAGCAAUAUGGCUGCCAACGCCAUGGGAAACGCAUAGGAAAUAGUGGGGAUGCGUCAACAUGAUUCAAAUACGGAAAGUUACUGACAUACCUCUUUUCUUUAUCAUGCACGGAACGAGUAACGACGGAACAUACUACAACAGAGACACGGAGUACAGAUAAUAAUUUAUAAUACUUAUUACAAGUUACAAUUCAUGCAAUUCAGUAUUCACAAGUCGAUUCACAAAGACUCUCGACGUUCACUAGUCACAACUCGCAACAGUGUCCGAAUCUCGAAAGUUCAUCUAUAGAUUCUUAUGAUCCGUAUUCCAUGUUGCCGCAACUCACAAUGGCUAUAAUGAUUAAAUUUACUAACUCGUAGAUGCCCUUUGGUGAUUGGUAUCUCAGCCCUCGUGGCUCGCCCGUCGCCGGUUAUUGAAACCACACGUACUCACGUGACUUGUAUCAAAUGUUCAUAAAUACCUAGUUACGUCAACUGUAGUAAUUGACUUCAGAAUUAUUUCUAUUGACGGACGGCGGUUGAUAGUGAUAUAAUUGCAUUUUAUAUAAAUCCUAGGACGUUAGGAACUUGGUUAUUUUAUUUACCAUUUAGUAAUUAGUAGUUUCUACUGCAUUACUGUACUCGAGUUGUGUAUUACUGUAUUGUGUGUUUUUUUCCUUCGUAUAAAACAGCUGAAACACGUGUGAUUCACAGUUCUAAUUUAUUGAACAUUGCAUGGUAUAUAAAGUUUUGGCGUUCAACAUUAAUACGAUAAAAGACUAAAACAUGUCCAAACACCGUGAAUGGGAUCCAACUUGUAAAGUAUACAUUGGUAAUUUAAAAAGCAAUGCCAAUAAAUACGAAAUCGAAGAUUUGUUUACAAAGUAUGGUCCAUUGAAAAAUAUUUGGAUAGCAAGGAAUCCACCUGGUUUUGCAUUCAUAGAAUAUGAAGACCCACGUGAUGCAGAAGAUGCAGUUCGUGGUUUAGAUGGAACAAGAUGUUGUGGAUCCAGAAUUAUUGUUCAAAUGUCAACUGGAAAACGUUCCAGAGAUAAAUCACCUGUACAUAGGUUAUUUAUUAUAGAUACAACUUUAUUGAAUUCUUCAUCAUCAUCACUACCACAUCCACUACUACCAUCACCUUUCAACACAGUACUACCAACUUGAGCCAGCUACAAACAUCAGGGGGUGCGAGAUUCUUGAAUCCCCAAUAGGCAUUCUUUUUUCGUGAAACAUUCAUCAUUUGGUUUUAAUUGUCAAUCCCUCGAUUUAAUUGCAGUACAAAACAACAACUUAGCAUUUGAAAUUCAUCUUCCUAGCUACUGCUGCAUGCUUUGAUUACAUUGUUUUUGCAUCGCUCAUCGUUCGUCAUUAUUCUGGUUAUAUUUUAGAGGACGAUCUUCACCUUCACGGCGGGGUUAUCGUUCAUAUUCAAAAUCACAAUCAAGGAGUCGCUCACCAGUUUACAGAAGUAGAAAAUCUCGGUCAAGGUCUUAUUCUAGAGGAAAAUACUAAAAUCACUUUUUAUGCAAAACAAUUAUGUAACACAAUUUUUUUAUAAAAUACAUGAUUUUAUUUAAAAAUAUAUUUUGAUUGGUUAAAGCCA